UGUUUGAUUGUCUACCUAUGGAUAACCGUGGGAAAUCUAGAGCUAAUACAUGCAGUUAAUGGUCGGGCUUGCUUGGCCAAGCAUUUAUUAGUUUUAACCAAUUACUGCGCAAGCAGUAAGGUGAAUCUAGAUAACUUUGCUGAUCGCAUGGCUUUGCCAGCGACGUUUCAAUUGAGUUUCUGCCCUAUCAAUUUGUUGGUAAGGUAUUGGCUUACCAAGGUUGUAACGGGUAACGGGGAAUCAGGGUUCGAUUCCGGAGAGGGAGCUUGAGAAUCGGCUACCACAUCCAAGGAAGGCAGCAGGCGCGCAAAUUACCAAAUCUAGACAGUAGGAGGUGGUGAAGAGAAGUACUAAGUGGUGGUUAUUUACUACCAGCUUGGAAUGGACGUAAUUUAAGCAUUUCGAUGAGUAACUACUGGAGGGCAAGUCCUGGUGCCAGCAGCCGCGGUAAUUCCAGCUCCAGUGGCGUGAUUUAAAGUUGCUGCGUUUAAAACGCUCGUAGUUGGAUCAAGCGGUGACAGUUUGUUUUCUGUAGUUAGCAUUUGACUGCUACAGUUGAUACUAACUGCAGAUUAAAGCGCAAACUGUCACUAUUUAAUCGCAAAUAUGUUAGUUGACCUUAAAUGAGUUGACUAUCAUAUUUUGCAGAGUUGUGCCUUGAAUAAAACAGAGUGCUCAAAGCAGGCGAACGCUUGAAUGUUGUAGCAUGGAACGAACAAACGUGUAUUAGCAUAUAUCGUGCGAAGCGGAUGUGUUUUUGGCGCAUCUGCUUUGCUGAUGUAUGCAUCACCCGCCAAAG
rnacentral:rRNA from 1 species